rnacentral:rRNA from 1 species
GGCGAAAGGGUGAGUAACACGUGAGCAACCUGCCCUCGAGUUCGGGAUAGCCCGCGGAAACGUGGAUUAAUACCGAAUGUGGUACCCUGUCUCAUGGCGGGGCUACUGAAGAUUUAUCGCUCGGGGAUGGACUCGCGGCCCAUAAGCUUGUUGGCGGGGUAACGGCCCACCAAGGCUAUGACGGGUAGGUGGUCUGAGAGGAUGGUCACCCACACUGGGACUGAGACACUGCCCAGACUCCUACGGGAGGCUGCAGUCGAGAAUCUUCCGCAAUGGGCGCAAGCCUGACGGAGCAAUGCCGCGUGAGGGAUGAAGGCCUUCGGGUUGUAAACCUCUGUCAGAGGGGACGAAGAAUGUGACGGUACCCUCAGAGGAAGCCACGGCUAACUACGUGCCAGCAGCCGCGGUAAUACGUAGGUGGCGAGCGUUAUUCGGAUUCACUGGGCGUAAAGGGUCCGUAGGGGGUCUGCCAAGUCCG